UUCGUAGGUGGUUUGUUAAGUCCGAUGUUAAAUCCCGAGGCCCAACUUCGGAGGUGCAUUGGAUACUGGCAGACUGGAGUGCAGUAGAGGCAAGCGGAAUUCCCAGUGUAGCGGUGAAAUGCGUAGAUAUUGGGAAGAACACCAGUGGCGUAAGCGGCUUGCUGGGCUGUAACUGACACUGAGGAACGAAAGCCAGGGGAGCGAAUGGGAUUAGAUACCCCAGUAGUCCUGGCCGUAAACGAUGGAUACUAGGCGUAGCGGGUAUCGACCCCUGCUGUGCCGCAGCUAACGCGAUAAGUAUCCCGCCUGAGUAGUACGGCCGCAAGGUUGAA
rnacentral:rRNA from 1 species